UGGGGGUUCGUCUAGUGGUAGGACUGUGGACUCUGACUCCGCCAGCGGGGGUUCGAAUCCCUCACCCCCAGCCA
rnacentral:tRNA from 1 species